AGAAGCUUUGCGAUUUCAUGAGGUCC
rnacentral:piRNA from 1 species